GUGGGGAAUAUUGGACAAUGGGCGCAAGCCUGAUCCAGCCAUGCCGCGUGAGUGAUGAAGGCCUUAGGGUUGUAAAGCUCUUUCAUCGGUGAAGAUAAUGACGGUAACCGGAGAAGAAGCCCCGGCUAACUUCGUGCCAGCAGCCGCGGUAAUACGAAGGGGGCUAGCGUUGUUCGGAAUUACUGGGCGUAAAGCGCACGUAGGCUGAUAUUUAAGUCAGGGGUGAAAUCCCGGGGCUCAACCCCGGAACUGCCUUUGAUACUGGGUAUCUUGAGUAUGGAAGAGGUCAGUGGAAUUGCGAGUGUAGAGGUGAAAUUCGUAGAUAUUCGCUGGAACACCAGUGGCGAAGGCGGCUGACUGGUCCAUUACUGACGCUGAGGUGCGAAAGCGUGGGGAGCAAACAGGAUUAGAAACCCCGGUAGUCC
rnacentral:rRNA from 1 species